rnacentral:rRNA from 1 species
UAAAGAAUCCGCAAGGAUACGACGUGUGAUCUGAGCAAUCACGAUUGCCUGGAGCAACAUGGCCCCAUUCUGGUCGCUUGCGACGGGGUGGAGGAAGAGCGUACGCGGUGAGACCCGAAAGAUGGUGAACUAUUCCUGAGCAGGAUGAAGCCAGAGGAAACUCUGGUGGAAGUCCGAAGCGAUUCUGACGUGCAAAUCGAUCGUCUGACUUGGGUAUAGGGGCGAAAGACUAAUCGAACCAUCUAGUAGCUGGUUCCUUCCGA